GCGAGAGUUUGAUCAUGGCUCAGAUUGAACGCUGGCGGCAUGCCUUACACAUGCAAGUCGAACGGCAGCACGGGAGCAAUCCUGGUGGCGAGUGGCGAACGGGUGAGUAAUACAUCGGAACGUGCCCAAUCGUGGGGGAUAACGCAGCGAAAGCUGUGCUAAUACCGCAUAAGAUCUACGGAUGAAAGCAGGGGACUCGCAAGAGCCUUGCGCGAAUGGAGCGGCUGAUGGCAGAUUAGGUAGUUGGUGAGGUAAAGGCUCACCAAGCCUUCGAUCUGUAGCUGGUCUGAGAGGACGACCAGCCACACUGGGACUGAGACACGGCCCAGACUCCUACGGAAGGCAGCAGUGGGGAAUUUUGGACAAUGGGCGCAAGCCUGAUCCAGCCAUGCCGCGUGCAGGAUGAAGGCCUUCGGGUUGUAAACUGCUUUUGUACGGAACGAAAAGGUUCUUUCUAAUAAAGAGAGCUCAUGACGGUACCGUAAGAAUAAGCACCGGCUAACUACGUGCCAGCAGCCGCGGUAAUACGUAGGGUGCGAGCGUUAAUCGGAAUUACUGGGCGUAAAGCGUGCGCAGGCGGUGAUGUAAGACAGUUGUGAAAUCCCCGGGCUCAACCUGGGAACUGCAUCUGUGACUGCAUCGCUGGAGUGCGGCAGAGGGGGAUGGAAUUCCGCGUGUAGCAGUGAAAUGCGUAGAUAUGCGGAGGAACACCGAUGGCGAAGGCAAUCCCCUGGGCCUGCACUGACGCUCAUGCACGAAAGCGUGGGGAGCAAACAGGAUUAGAUACCCUGGUAGUCCACGCCCCAAACGAUGUCAACUGGUUGUUGGGUCUUCACUGACUCAGUAACGAAGCUAACGCGUGAAGUUGACCAAUCACUA
rnacentral:rRNA from 1 species